AGUCCGGAUCCGUAGCUCCCCAUCCCCUGCAAAGCCAGGCUUGCCUUCGCGCUGCACAGCGUGCCAGACACGUUUGCCUCCGGGUACCACCCGGCGGCGUCUUUUUCCAGCACCAGAAGACAGUUGCGCAGUUUUCCCACCCAGCAUCUAGCAAUUCAGUUCCUAAGCCAGCUGGUGCAGUUGGAAAAGCCCGCCCCACUUAAGAUGGCAGCCCCGAGUCGGAGUCAAAGCUACCCUCAUUUCUGCGCAUCCUGUCGGAAUUGGGAGAUACCCACGUGAGAAACCAGGCUUAAGUAGGCCCCUAGAACAGCGCUUCCCAAACUGUUUCCACUCCUGAAGAUAGCACCUCUUUCGCCUAGGAAAUUUUCACAUAACCCAGAUGUAGAGAGGUAUUUACUCACCACAAACUGCAAGAUAAUUCUUUGGCUACUUGGAACUUUAUCAUUUACUAAAGAUGAAAGCCAAGUGCUUGGUGUUGCAGAAAGGGUAAAUGCUGACUAUUUGAUACUGUAGAAAUGCAGUAUUGUGCUAGUACAUGAGAAAAGUUCCUUUCCGCUUUCACUUGUAGCCCACCACGCCGUGGGGGCGAGAUGGGAGGCAGGAACUGAUGAAGAGGCGGAUGGGUGGGGCGGGGCGGUGUUUUCUGCCUUGCUCUGCUAGCUGGCUUAUAUAACCCGGGAUCACUUGUCCAAGUGUAGGACAGCCACAUUGGCUGAGCCCUGCUACAUCAGUCAUUAGUCAAGAGAAUACUGCCAAGGGCUUGUCUACUAGCCAAUCUUUUGUCCGUUCAUUUCUUUGUUACUUAUGUUUUGAGAUAGGGUCUUUCUUCCCAGCUCUGGCUGGCCUGGAACUCCCUAUGUGGACAGACUUGACUUGAAUGUACAGAGAUUCUGCCUCUGCCUCAGUGCGGGACUGAGGCCUCUAGACCUCUCUGGUUUUCCUGGUUCACCCUGUAAGGGACUGGCAUGAACACACGGCCCACUGUUGCUAAACAGUACCAGAGACCCAGAGCAACAGCACGUUCCCACCUUGGACGGAGCCCUCCAGAACCCUGAGCCAUGCCAACCUUUUCUCUCUCUUAGUUGCUUCAGCACUCAAUUGCAACGCAAGAGAGAAUUGGGGUGGUUUGCGGCUCGUCCGGCCAGUCCAACAAUGGCAGUGUCUCCAUGGGAAGGCCGAAGUUUUUCCGUCCUCGGGCUAGAUGUGGCAGCUGGCCUUCGGUCUACAGUGGAAUCCUGAGGAAGUAGGGUCUCACACCAGUGAGAGGAUGUCUCAGCAGCAGGGCUGUGGUACCAUGUGACCUCACUUUGCUCUCCUGUGCCUUGAUGGACUGAACUCUUUCUUGUAUAUUGGCUGCGACCUUCAUGAGGGAGGGAGAGUUAGCACAUCUUUCUGCACCAAAGCAGGACCGUGCCAAAGGCAGACGAAAUGGAGAUUACGUGAAGAGCGACCAGUAGAACAACACUCAGCAUCAACAAGGAGGAAAACUGGACCAUCAAGACAGCUCAGGAAAAAGGUGCUUGCUGCUGUCUGCCUGCGUUCAAUGUCCAGGAUCCACAGAGCAGAAGGAGCGAAUCCUGUCCUACAAGUUGUCCUACGGCAUGAACACUGCAUCUCACCCCUCAACCAACCAACAAAUACAUAAAUGUGAAAAAAAUUGAAGGAAUUGUGACCCAUGUUGCAAUAUGGGUGGACUCUGAGAAUGCUAAAUGAUUCCUGCCAGUCACAAAUGGACAAAGGCCAUGUGGCUCCACACACAUGAGCAACCAUCUUAAGCCUAAACCAACCUGACUUAGAGACGCAGAAAGGAUGGUGGGUGCCAGAGUCUGGGUGGGCAGGCACAGCAGCUGGUCACAUGGUCAAGAGCAGACAGGAACUAGGGUGGGGCUACAGGACGGACCACAAAGCUUGGCCUCCAGUGACCCCCGUCCUCCCACCCGGCUCUGCCUCCUAAGGCUCUCCAACCUUCCAAACAGCACCAUUGAGGGUCAGUGCUCGACCUUAAUGCCGGGGGGGGGGGGGGUCCUCAAAGUACCGCAGAAGGUUCUGUUUAAGAAGGCCAACAGAGGGCUGGAGAGAUGACUCAGCACAGGACUCCUCCAGAGGUUCUGAGUUCAAUCCCCAGCAACUACAUGGUGGUUUAAAACCCUCCAUAAUGAGAUCUGCUGCCCUCUUCUGGUGUGCAGGUGUACAUGCAGAUAAAGCACUCAUACAUAAAAUAAAUAAAUAAAAUUUAAGAAAAGAAUUUCAGUAUAACAAGAGGAAAUCUCCGGGGGGAGCCAUAGGGAGGCAGCAGGAGGCUGUCAGCACCCUCAAAAGGUUCAGGAUGGGAAAUUUUAAAUUAUGUAACUUAAAAAAACAAUGCCACACACAAAAUUUAAACCUAAAACAUCUCUUAUGUCGAUGGAACAAAUACACUCUAGUUGUUGAAUUUCGGAAAAUCCCGAGGGCUGGACAAGAUGGCUCCAAGAUAAAGGCGCUGGCCAGGAAGCCCGCCAACCGACGUUCACCCCCCGGACCCAUCAAGGAAGGACAUGGCUGACUCUGAAAAGCUGCCGCCUCGCCUCCCCACACAAGGGAGUGCACACGCACACUGCCGUGCAAGCCCUCCCCACAGCUGUGUAAAUAGGUCAAUUUUAUUUUAAAUCCUGAACGCAGGGUGUCAUUCUUAGGUAGAGUAAUAGCACGCGUGUAUGAGGCCUUGAGUUUGAUUCUCAGCAGUGAAAGAAAAACAAUAACAUAAUGAGUAAUAAUGGCAUCUGAGAGCUUCUAAAACAGCUUCCAGAGCUGUGGAAGGCUCUGAAGGACAGAUAACAGGAAGCAAGGCCAAGGCAAACAGAAGGAACGGAAAUUAUCGCUUCCUUGCUGGUCCUCCGCACUGUUUAUGUAAAAACACUCCACCCUCUUAGAUGUUUUGGCUUUGGUUUCCUCCUGGAGGAAACCUCUGAUGGACAUCUUCUCUGUGUCUCUAAGAACUCAUGAGUCAGUAUGUGAGCGAGAUUUCUUAAUUAAAGACGAGAGAGCUCGAAAUACGAGCUCCACUUAUUUCCGACCUCACAUUCUGAGGCGGAACUGACACCCUUGAAAUUGGGUAGGUUUUCCUAGAUUAUAUGCCAUGUGCCCAGCGAACUUUCUGUCUCUUCUGCCAAGUGACGUUCUCUUGUGUAGAGAUCUCCCUGGACUCAGAGUUUGGGAAGUUAUUACACUCAGAUACAAAGGCCUUUGCGUUCUCCAUGAUUUGGUUGUGGAUUUCUUUUGCUGUAAUUUGUUUGUCUAUUUUGUAGGACUAAAGAUCCAAUCAAGAGGUCAGCCUAGGGCCUCUUGAAUGCUAGGCAUCCUCUGGUGCACACAGAGGCUGAACUUGACGAGUUCCUCUUUCCUGGAGAGUGAGUCAGCUGCAGAACCCACGUGGACAUUUGGUCCUCAUCUGUUAAGGUGUCGGGUCUAGCCUUCACCUUCUCAAAGUUUCAUUUAUUCAGCAUAUAUCAAGGUAGCUGGGGACCUGCGGACACUUAUUCUAUACCUUGAACUGUAAGCAAAUAUUGUUACUCAAACUGCUCAUGCCUUGACCACAAAGAUCUUACAUUUCUCUUAGCAGAAGUAAAACAACGGAAAGAGCGAAGAGAGCUUGCCAUGUGUGCUGCAGAGCGCAAGUGCUGAGCUGCGACCUUUUGCCAUUAUUUUUGGUGCUGUUCAAUCCUGGGUUUCUAACCAGUGAUUUUCCAGAGCUUAUUUAAUCUCUCUAAAUGCCACUUUCUUCCACUUUAAAAAAAUUUCCUGUGCAAUGGUGUUUUGCCUGCAUGCAUGUCUGUGUGAGGGUGUGAAUUACAUAUAGUUGUGAGAUGCCAUGUGCUGGAAAUUGAACCUGGGUCUAACCACUGAACCAUCUCUUCAGCCAAACUCAACUGUAUGGGCGCAGGUAUUCCCCAGGGGCAGGCAUGGGCCCACAGAAGCAGAAGAGGUGGCAGAGCUCCUGGAGAGCCUGCCAAGAUGUGAAUACUUAAAUCCCACAGUCUGCAAGCUGAGUCACAGGCCCCUGAGCCAUCACUGGGCCCCUGACAGGAGAUUCUGAAUCUGCAGACUGAGGACAACACCUGAUUUGCAGGCCCAGGGUGGGGGACGGGAGCCUGAAGGUUCCCAGCAGAGACAGCCUCACAGUUGGAU